GAGGUCAGGCUCUGCCUACAUACCGCAGGGACACUCCUCCCACCCCACUCCUGGAGCCAGACUUGACGAUGACGCUGGGGCCUUUCCUGAGAAGAUGACUUUCGCGAGAGACGAUGGCGCUACCCCAAACUCCACAGUUCCAGGGACGGCUGCCCACAGAAAUAGGCUGACAGGGACACCGAAGCUGGAGAGCAUGAGACUUGCCCGCAGCCAUAUCGCACCAGGACUACACGUGGCCAGACCUCUACAGCACAG